AGAGAUCAUGAUGGGAAAGUGACGCCAGAAGAGUUGGCAGCUGCGGCCAUGUACUUAAAAGACACCUUAGACAGGACUGGUGUUCAAGAACUCAUCAGCAACCUUUCCAGAGAUAGAGAAGGGAAAAUUCUUGUUGAAGACGUAGUCAAGUUAGGCAGUCAAACCGAUGAUGCCAAUCCAGAUGAAGCAGAAUGCAGGUAGUUUGUAAUACAAUUGUAAUUUCUUAUAUAGUUAUCAAUUAACCCAUUUUUUUCUGGGUUGCAAAAGUUUGGUGGCCUGGUCAAUAUAACCUAUGUAUUAUGGAUAUAUGGGCUAGCAAUGUCCCGAUGGAUGUUGUCUGUAUCAGUUUAUAUUUUUGUGCUUUUGGCCAUGUCCACUUUAGUGAUCUACUAUGAUGUAUGUUGUCAAGCCUUGUUUGGCAACCUAUGGAUUAUUUGUGCAAUGAAUAAACUGCUGCUGAGUGCACAGCGUAGUGCAAUACUUGAAGUAACUUAUUUGGCUUU